rnacentral:lncRNA from 10 species
GUGAGGUGCUAUUGGCAUGCACUGAGUGAAGUUGGUUGAAAUUUACACAGAGUUGGCUGCCACAAUAUGGGCUGAGCUGGAACAAGAGGUCAGAGGCCACAGAGAAAGAGAUCAUCAACUGCAGUUGCAAAAUCCAUCAUGAUAUUUGCUGUAAACAGGAUAUCUAAUUCAGCUGGAGCAUCUCCAUAAAGAUUGUUCUAGGCCUCUCUGGGGAUCUUCAAUGUCCCAGGGCAAACUCUUCACUGUCAACUCUUUUCUGAAAGAGUGCAAUGAUUUCAGGAUCAAUGAUUUCUGAAAAUGAACAUUUUUAAUAAAGCAGCUCUGGACUGUGAUUCCUAACUAUUGGGGCAUUGGCAUUAAAGAAAAGAGAUUGGACAUUUUGAACCUUGUGUGUGUCAAAAUGAAACUUUUUGUCCCUGGAUAUGUUGAGACGGGAAGAAGGAAAAUCUGAUUCUAUGGUUUACUACACUCCAGGAAUUAUCAUCCCUCUAACACCACACAUGAUGGAAAGAGAAAACUUGGGGCUCAAUGGUUGCUCCCAAAGAGUACCCAAAUGCUGGUCCAUGAGCUGAGACUGGGCACCUCACACUACA